rnacentral:lncRNA from 1 species
UAACAUUCCAUCUGGUGUACACCUAGUGCUAACCGCCAAACAGGGGUUACAAAGCCGACCCUAACUUCCAAUCUAGGUGGGAGCAUUUUGUGAAAAUUUGACCGCAAGUUAUUUAGCAUUUUUAACACCACCUUCUUGCAAAAAGUUUCUAGAGUUAACACUUGGAACAACCUGAAAGAUUUUAUUAAAGCUUGCAGGGCAGAAAAAGGACAGCUAGAAAAUCCUUAUCGCGGUGCAUUUCUUUUACGACAAACACAAGCUUGGAUUCAUUUCCUUAGGUUGAAAUUGCACAUCCU